AUCUUUAAGCCCUAAUUUAAAGUAAGACCUGCUCAAUGAAGCAUUAAAUAGCCGCAGUUAACCUGUGCUAAGGUAGCAUAAUAAUUAGCUUCAUAAUUAGAAGAUAGAAUGAAAGGUUAAACGAGAAGGAACUGUCUCAACUAUUAUAAUAAACUUUAUAUCUUAGUAAAAAAGCUAACAAUCAAAUAAAGGACGACAAGACCCCGAUAAACUAAUCUUUUAGUUGGGGCAACACAAUAAAAAAACCUUAUUAACACAACAAAACUAAAUAAUUAAUAUCGAAAAGUUACUACGGGGAUAACAGCGCAAUUUUUUAUAAGAGCCCUCAUCAAAUAAAAAGAUUACGACCUCGAUGUUGAAUUAACUAUCCACAGGCGCAAAAGCCUGACGCUGGGUUGGGUCUGUUCGACCAUUACAAAGUU
rnacentral:rRNA from 1 species